UAAACAAAAGGUUUGGUCCUAGCCUUAUUAUUAAUGUUAAUUAGACCUACACAUGCAAGUUUCCACUAUCCUGUGAGAAUACCGUCAAAACUAUCUAACCAAAAGAUAAGAGGAGCUGGUAUCGGGCACACUAAUAGUAGCCAAUUACACCUUGCUUAACCACACCCCCACAGGAAACUGCAGUGAUUAAAAUUAAGCUAUAAACGAAAGUUUGACUAAAUCAUAAUUAUUUUCUUAAGGGUUGGUAAAUUUCGUGCCAGCCACCUCAGUCAUACGAUUAACCCAAAUUAACAAAUCUUCGGCAUAAAGCAUGUUUAACAAAAAUUUCAAAGUAAAGUUAAUACUUAACUAAACUGUAAUACGCUCUAGCUAAUACUAAAAUAAAUUAUUAAAAUAACUUUAACAAAGCUGACACACGACAACUAAGAUACAAACUGGGAUUAGAUACCCCACUAUGCUUAGUCGUAAACUAAAAUAGUUAAAUAACAAAACUAUUCACCAGAGAACUACUAGCUAUUGCUUAAAACUCAAAAGACUUGGCGGUGCCCUAAACCCACCUAGAGGAGCCUGUUCUAUAAUCUAUAAACCCCGAUAUACCCAGCCCUGUCUUGCCAAUUCAGCCUAUAUACCACCAUCAUCAGCCCACCUUAAAAAAGACAAAAAGUAAGCAAAACUACUUUCCAUAAAAACAUUAGGUCAAGGUGUAGCACAUGAAAGGGAAAGAAAUGGGCUACAUUCUCUAAUUUAGAGAAUAAUGAAUCACAUUAUGAAACUAAAGUGCUUGAAGGAGGAUUUAGUAGUAAAUUAAGAAUAGAAUGCUUAAUUGAAUUAGGCAAUAGGGAGCACACACACUGCCCGUCACCCUACUCAACUCAAUUAAUUAAUGUAUCUAAUACUUCAUUUAAACAAAGAGGAGAAAAGUCGUAACAUGGUAAGUGUACUGGAAAGUGCACUUGGAAUAUCAAAAUG
rnacentral:ncRNA from 1 species